GUAACCAAAACUUAAGACUAAACUGAGGAAAGAGAAGUAAUUUUUCAGGACUUCACUCUAUUAUACAGAAAAAAAAAUAGUCAAAGAAUUAUCCUUCUCCUCAGCAUGUUGGGUUUUAGCUCUCAGUGAAGAAAGGCUAUACCAAAAUAAGACAUCAGUUUUGGGUGUCUAGGUGCUUCUCCAUUUUGGUGCCAAAUCCAGUUCCAGCUGACGCACGAAGGGCCAGACAGAGCCUCCCUUUCCUGUACUCCGGGACAUGUUCCAUGGGAGAAUUCAGUAGUAAACCAAUUCCUGUUAAUUAUUACAGCCUUAUCAUGUUUUCCAAGUUCUUGCAUACAGUAUAACAAUGUAUGUUAGAAGGGGAUGUGUGCACUGUGGUCUGGUUUUGCUACCCAUGAGACUUGGCAUUGCAAUCCUGGCUCUUCUGCUUAAAAUGGCAGAGACAAAUCCAUACCACCAGGAAAAUAACACAAAAUACUGUUUGUGGGUAUUUAAUUUCAGGAUUAUGAACUAGAAAAAAAAAAAAACAAAAACAAACAAAACAACCGCACGCCAAACCAGCUGAAUUGAUCUGUCACAACUGGGAUCUGUUCAGUUUUUGUUUGUUAUGUAAACUGCGUGACGGCCUCGCUUCCUGACGGUGGGAAAAAUCUCCUGAGAAGAAACGUGUCUUUCGCUUCCUCUGGGAAUGCUCAGUACCCUGGAGAUUCUUCUUGCUUGACAUUUUGUUUCUCAAGUGACUACUGGACCUUUGCUCGGAGGAGAUAAGUAAUUUUUCUUUCCCUGACUACAAGUAGUACAUGUAAUUAUGUAAUUGUAAGGCUUUUAUGCUUAAGGCUAAAUUGGUUUAUGAGAAGGGAUAUACAGGGGUUUGUCCUCCCAGGGCUUUUCUGAGCAAGACUGAUCUGGACUGGCUAUAUUUUCGUGGCAGGUAGCAUGGCAAACUCAGGAAACCCCAGCUCAUUACUGGGCCACUGUCCAUCCCUGCUCUCAUACCUUGUCCCACAGGGAAUUUGGGGGCCAGAGCCAACAGACUGUGCAAAACAGAGCAUAAGGUGCCAGUGGUGAUUUGUGCCUGCUGUAAUUAUGAUGCAUUUAAUACGUCAUUGAACCAGCAACAAACUCUGCUCUGUUUAUAAAAUGAAAGAAGAUAUUUCUUCUAUCUUCUGGAAAUGCAGCAUAGUUAGUGUGAAGAAUGGUUGUGAAAUAUGUUGGGGUUGCAUCUGGAAAACCUGAAGUCCUCCACAGAACUCCGGGUUCAGAUUAUGUCAGAACAAACAGCAAAGUUUAACUAAACUGAACCUUUUUUUUUCUACUUGACGGUGUUUUCAGAUAUGAGCUGCUUGCAUUCACCACAUUUGGAAGGUUCAUAGGAAAGACAGGUCUAAUAGUUGAUCCAAACAGCCCAUCUAAAUUUAUUUUCAUCAUACAGUUUUCACAUCUGGCAUUUCAAACAGCACCAGUCUACUCUGCAGUGUCUGGAGUUCUGUCUCUACACAAAAGAAGACAAUUAUUUCAAAACCAUGAGGUAUAAAAUAGGGAAACCCAAAUCCUGCUCUCUUACUAGAUUACUGGUGUAUCUUUUUUUCAUUAUUCAUUGAGAUCCCAUUGCUACAUAACCUUCCUUUUUAUUUUUAUUAGAAACCUGUGAAACAGGAGUACCUUGCUGCCAUAUGGAAAGAAAGGGCAGCUAGAACCUUCCUGCCAUUUCCUUUGCACUAAAAUGUCUAAACAGAGAUGCUGCUGGUUGUAAGUUUAGGGUUAAGAAGAUCCCUGGGAUUGGAAGGCACACAGCCAUGCUGUUUGGGAAGGGCUGCUUCGGGAUUAGGAAAACUCCCCUGCUAGACAGAUUUGUGCUACUUUUCCUUUGGAGUGCUCCUUCCUGGACCCUUAAGCAUAUAUUUAACUGCAGAGAUCUCCUUGAGAAUCCUCCUAAUUUAGAGGAGGCUUAACACAAGCAUACAGGGAUUGCUGAACUGUUUAGGAUUUCAGAGAUGCCUAAGGUGUUUCAUGGAAUUCACAGACUGGUUUGGGUUGGAAGAGACCUUAAAGACCAUCUAGUUCCAACCCCCUGCCAUGGGCAGGGACUCCUUCCACUUGACCAGGUUGCUCAGAUUCCCAUACAGCCUGCCUAUAUGUGUGGAUAACAGCAUUCCCAGUGUUUUAAUUAUGUUGUAUUUAUUCAUAUUAGCAGACAGUACUCUAUAAUUCACACUGUAUUAGGUACCUAUGUCUUAGCAGGUCAUUCCAAGCACAAUAACUGGAAUCCAGCACUUGCAGAUCCUCCUUUCAGAAGUUUUUGAUCUGAAAUAAACCAUGAAGACAGUUUAUUUAUUCUACCAAAAAGAAUAGUUUACCUAGUAAGAAAUAUUUUUAAAACUGAACAGCUGACAUUCACUUCUGCUUUCCUUAAAAGCCAGGUGUCCCUUGCCUUCUUCAGUGCAUUCCCAGGUAGUCUGGAUCCAUGGAGGAGCUGCCUUCUCCUCCCUUGGAUGAUGUGUUCCUACAAGCCUCCUGUCUCCAGUAUCUCUGGUCUCCUCCUUGCCCUGUCAUUGUCUCAUUACAAUACUCCCUGUGUGCUGAAGGUGGCUUGUCCUACCAUUUUUCUCUUUUUUGCCCAGCAGCCCUUUGUUGAGCUGAUUCACUGUAAUGGCCCAGCCAACACUGGAGGAACUGUUCCAGCAUUCACUACCCAGAGAGAGUCCAGGUUGUCCAUGCUCAGUCAGAGGAUACAAGGGACCCAUUCCUGCUCAGAGAGUGUGCAAGACCCUGACCUGCAACAGUCAAUCGUUUAGCAAGAGGAAAAGCAAAAGCUGUGGAAGGGAAGACGGAAUCUGCUUCGCCUUUGACAGUCCUUUGAACUGUGUUCUGGCAGCUCUGAGCAAGCCUUCCCCAGGGGGAAAUCAGGCACAUGUGCUUCUGAGAGCAAGAUCCAGGGCUGAUCCUUGCUGCUGCUGUGAAGUUCACAUGGCCAUGGCAUUCGACCCAGCUGGAAGAGAGCCCCUGCCUGAUGUGAGAGGGCAGCACGUAGCUGUGUGGUCGCUGCUGAAUUCGUGACUUAAAUGCAUGUCCCUCACGGUGUGUGCCUUUAAAAACCCAGAUCUCUGAAUGAAACCAUUUGGUGAGCCUGCUGUGUCUUUCCUAAUGAGCAUUUCACCCCUUGGAAGGUACAUUUUUUCCCUCUUCUCUGUAUGUGCCAUGGCUGAUGCUGUUGGGCAGAUGGCUCUGUAUGUAUGUAAAUUUUACUGAGCUGAAAUGCCACAGCCUCUUGGUGAUUUCAUGUCCCAGCUUAUUAUGGACAAGCUUUUCAAAGGAUCUGUUUCUACCGAGAAAAUCAUUCCCUUUCCCCCCACAAAAAAAAGUUCAGGAACAAAACGUCAAUAAUUUUUCCAUGUGUGUAUUUGCACAUGCACACUUGUACAUGCCCACAUUUUUCCACUGCAGUUUAUUUCCCUUGUGUCAUGCUCCAAAUGACAUCCCUGAAGUACCCAUGUAAAAUGCCUGGAAAUCCUAAUGGGGGAAGAAAGAGAAGUUUCGCUUUGUAACCAUCCUGACCCGUUUUCUGCCCAGAUGGCACAGUGGCAUGUGCCAGCCUUUCUCCACCCCUACACACAUACAUGUAAUUCAAGUUGAAAACUUUAAAAUUGGAAAAUGAUUAUGUGAAACUCCCCGAGACAUUUCACAGAAAUCUAAACCAACACACUGCAAAGGGUUCCAAACAAAAAUCGGUCUCCAAACCAGUGCUUCUCCUGUGACAUCAUGUCACAUUAAUAACUGCUAGGUUGACCUAAUAAGGAUGAAAAUUCCCACUUCACAGCCUGUUCUCCCAGAUUAAAAAAAGUAUCUUCUGCUAUGUUGGACCUUUCUUAAUGUCUGCCACAACAGAUGGGGCUGGUAGCUGGUUAGUUGAGGCCCUGGGUGGGAGAGAAGUCUAUCACAGCGAUGAUCUUUUGCUCUUUAAAGCCCGUGACGAGGUCUCUGAGACAUAAGGAGUCAUGAUAUAUACAGAAUUUAUGUGUGUUUGUGUGUGUGUGUGUGUGUGUGUGUGUCCGAAGCCUAAGCUAUAAGUGGAACUUUUUAGCUGGAAACUCAAAGUAAAAAUAACCUGGAGAAUCCCUACUGUUGAAUCUGGCAGUGCAAACACUUGACUCUUCAUAUAGAUUUGUGUGUGUGUGUUUAUAUUUAUAUUUGUGUAAAUACCAAGUUAAACAAAAUUUUCUCCUUUGAUUACAUAAUGUACCCAAGAAGAAUUUAAAUUUAAGGGGUUUACUAAUGAAUUAAUGCUCCUGUGCUUGAAGUGCAAUAGGAAAGAAUGUAUUCAUAUACACAGAUGUAUGAUGUUGGAAAGCCAUAAGGAGUUAUCACCAGUUACUUGCUGAGUGAUUUGCAGUGAGCCACAAACCCUGGAAGGGGUGGCUACCUGCUUAAAAUGAUAUUUCUGUUUUGUGGACACCAAUAGCAGCCUCUCAGUGAGUGAGUGUUCAGAUAUUGACAUCUGAAAUGAGAAAGAUAAUGGUUACUAAGUUUAAAUGUUUCCAUGUGGAAUUAUUGUGCUUGUACACGUCUGUGUAUGGUUUCACUCCAAACAUAUCCAUCAGUAAAGUUUCUGGCACCUUUACUUUGAAGACUGUUCUGCCUACCAUUCAGUACAGGGUCAAGAAACCUUUAUUUUAACCAUCUGAACUUCUAGUUUCUCUGGGUUUGGGCCUCUUCUCUAGUAAUUGCUAUGACUGAAGUGCAUUAGCCCUGGACAUUCUGCAGCUCCCUCUGAAAGCGAUGUACAGCAUUGCCCUUCGCAUUUUAAUCACAGGAUUUUCUAUUACUUAUAAACAGAAGAGGUUUUAAACUAUUGUGAGGAAAUAUUUCAGGGGCUUGUGUGUGAUCUGGGUUGCACUGUUUCCAAGUUUAACUAAACAGGGGUGAAACAUUUAUUAGGACUGAAGCAAGGGAAAAAACUCCAAACACAGAAGAUGGCCCAUUUUGCCUGGGACCUUCAUUGACAGAAGGGGCACCAGUGGCUCCACUGGAUUUUUUUUUUUUUUAAAAUCCCUGAAAAAGACACAGGGGAAAGCUUGGCCUCAGUCACACAGUCUACUACAAACCUUCACAAAAACAUGAUGGAAUAUCACAAGCAAUUUUGUUGUAGUUGAUCAAACUACAGACUCACUCUCUGCUCACUGACUGCUGCUUUUCAUCUUUAACCACAGUAUCUGAAUUGAUAUUUGAACAGAUUAUUGUCCCUUAAGGAAAACACCCAUGACUGAUAACAUGACAUACUUAAUACCAAUAUAAACUCAUCUUAAAGACACUCAUGCCUUUAAAAUUAGGUUAAAUUUAAUAUUUCAAGAAGAACAUUCAGACUUGUGUUCCAUUUUACUUUUCAUGUGAAUGUAUAUACAGCACAAAGGAGAGCUUCAGUUCAGAAAUUUUAUUACUGUCUUAAUUUAAUACAAAAUUUAAAGAAUGCAGUGGGAUUUUGUAUAUGGAAAAAAUAGCUACAUCACAAACAAUUUAAUCUGAUCAGCCAGGAAUAGUAUCUGUUUAUAAUGUGAUUUAAAACACUAGCUAAGGCUGAGCAGGCAACAUUUAUUAGCAUUUGAUGUGUUUUUGAAAAGCUUUGAGAUGAAAAGCUGACCACCCAAGGGGCUCACAAUUGUCACUUGCCCUCACUCAAACUCAGCAGAGUUUCUUUCACUGGGUGUUGCAACCCUUCAGUUUUUCUCCAUGUCCUGACCUUGACUGAAUCCCAAAACCAUGACAGUCAGCAGGAUCAGCCCCUUUUGGACAGACCGACCCAGAUCACCCACAAUCAAAGACCUAACAUCAAAAAAUAUACCCUGAAGGAUAACGAGGCUGGGCCAUGGAAGGAUGCAAUUAAUUUUCAUGGCUAUUGUGGUUACAAAAAAAAAAAGGCACUUGAGGAAAGCAGUGAUGUUCCCUGGAUGAGGAAGACACUGAACCCCAAACCACAACAGCCCUUUGCAGUCACUCCAGUGCCAACCCUCACUUUAAUGGUCUCUGCAGCAGACCUCAGACCAUAAAACCAAGGAGUAUAAUUUCCCUUUGGCUCACACAGAAGCUGGCUUUCUCAUCCUUGCUACAAAGCCAACAUUUAACAACAGUAGAAAGCCAAGUAAACUCCUGUAAUGAUAAGAUACCCUAAUUUUAACAAAUUAUCCCCAGGGACGUUUGUCAAUGCUGUUUGAAGAAGCCACAGUUAGCACUGAAAUGCAUUUGUCAAAAUAAAUCAACAAUUUGGGGAUGCCUAACUCUGCUGGGUUUUUUUCCCCCCUGUUUCUUUGUUUCCUCAGUGGGAGAGUAAUUUAAGACUCAGAGGAAGGCUUUCUCUUGACCAAAACUCAUCGCCUCUCCCUAUCCAUAAAUUUGGAGGGCAGCAGGGACCAUUAGAUCAUCCCAUAACAUCCUGCACAGCUAUUCCUGCCUUGGGCCCAGAAAAGUGUGUUGGGAUCAACACGUAUCCUCCAGAAAAUUCCAGCACAUUUGUGUGUAGGAGUAAUGUCUCCAGAUGGAUCAAUUUCCCUUUGGAGUAGGAAAAAAAAGGUGUUAAACCUUUGUUAAAUGUGAAGAGAGUAUCCAUCAUUCUUUUGUUUGCCCCUUUGAAUUUUACUAUCUACAUGUUAAAAUAAUUAGUAAAAAUAACUAAAUAUAUGGACAACAUUUUCCUUGAAUGCAUGGUUUUUGUCUUUCUUACAUUGUACUGUGUCCUGAUGAUCCCAGAAUAUUCCCUUCACUGUUGGCCAAUAACUUAGCAGUGUUCUGAGAGUCCUCAGCCAGAAACCCACUGAAUACUUAGUAUUUGAAAAUAUUUCUUUUAAUCCAAGCCCCUUGCUGAUGUGUCCUGACUGUGAGUGCCUCAAUCUCUGUGGUUUCUGUUGGACAGCACAGAUCUUGUCUCUGCUGGCUAAAUCUCUCUUCAAUUUUCCAAUAAGAGAAUGUGGGAGCAUAUUUUAUCUUCACUGUCCACUUAUCACAUGAGAAAUCUUCUUUUUUUAAGUUCAAAGAACCCUUAAGGGAAAAGUAGGAAACAUAAUUCAGGGAGAUAGGGUUGAGAAGCAUUAUUAAUAUGCUAGGGGUAUUAGAAACUCAUGUCUAUCAGCUUAGAUUAGUCUGGAUGUGAUGUAAACAGAAAUAUAGGGGGAAAAAUAUCUUAAUGUAAGCAUUUGGGAUUGAAAAAGUUAACUCUCACCUGACUACACAAGCGACCCAAACCAGGAAAUUUGGGCUAGAGAGAUGGGAAUUUGCAGCCUCAUUUUGGGUUCAAGAGUUUAGUAUCAAGAGUUUAGCAGGGCACGAUUUAUUGCUUGGUGAUGCCUUCCGAACCACCACCAGUAUUGUGAAAAUAUCAGGCUCCACAGAGAAUAUAUUUUGCCAAAAUAAUGAAAGCUUUGUUCCUUUCAUCACACAAUAUCUAAUGGUUUUUUUCUCCAGUCAAAGUUCCCUUCUGGUCUUGGACUAACUACUUUUGCAGCUUGCAGCAACAAGCAUUUGCUAGUGACAGUCACUGGAGUGCUUGGAAACCGGCUCCACGAAACGUCCUCAAUCUCCAGUUUGGGAAGGAGGAAAAGGCAUGGAGAAUUAGCCAUGGGGAGCUUUUUUCAGUCAGAAAGAAUGGUUUGUCCAUACUGCUUUCCAGGUGGAAAAGCACAAGCAUGAUUCCUGCCCUGAACUUUAUGCAGAUAAGGCACGUGCUUGGUGAAAUACAUUCAGGAUGGCUGUGAGGCAAGUCAAGGCCUGGGCCCCUGAAAUGAUCCCAUGACCUAAAGUAACACUGGCUUUAGGGCAAAGGCCUAUUGCAUACAGGAGGUAUUAACUAAAUCUGAAUGUACUUCUGGCUCUCUUGCUGCCUUGAGUAUCCCAAAAAGCUUGGGUUGACCCUUCUGUGGAUGGGGCCAAGCAGUUGAAUUGGAGAGGGCAAACAGCUGUGGUGAAACGUGUGCCCACAAAGCAACAGUCCAGGGAGGGAAUUGUUUGACAAAGCCACAGUGAUGCCAGGAGUAAUGUAGAGGUUUUUACUGGUUUAGUGGUUUUAGGAGUUGAUAGCAGAGCAGGAUGCACUGGAGGGUGCCCAAGAGAGGUGCUUUGAGCAGACAGGAGUGCCAUAGUAUCAUAGGAUAGUUGGGGUUGGAAGGAAUCUUUAAAAGUCAUCUAGUCCAAACCCCCUGCAGUGAGCAGGGAUGUCUUCAGUGAGAUCAGGUUGCUCAGAGCCUCAUCCAGCCUGACCUUGUAUGUUUCCAGGGAUGGGGCAUCCACCACCUCUCUGGGCAGCCUGUGCCUACAGGACACCAGUGGCUGUCUGAGGAGCUGUUGGGACCAGACAGGGUGUCCAGGGCUCCCAAAACACAUUCAGUUAUUGCUCAUUGGCUCAUGAUCCCACUGACAUUAACUUUUAAUGGUUAGGUGCCUAUCCUGCUUGUAUCUUCAGCAGCCCUUGGGUCUGAAGAGCAACCUGCUGCAGAGACCUGAUGUCCCCACUCUCCUCAGGGUGCACCCUGUCGAGGCCCUGCUUCUGUCCCUGGCUCGCACAAAAUGUUUCCAAAGAGAGCACAAGAAAUCCUGAAGGUGACAGCCACGGAAUGACCUGCCAACAGGGAAAGUUUCCUCCAAAGCCUAUUACUCAGAUGUUGGCUACAACCCUGGAGCAUUAAUCUUGAUAUCCCCUAAAAUCUGCUUUUGUACAGCAUCUGACUUAACCAUGUAUCAAACAGACAACCUCAAAGAAAUUCACAGCCCUGGAAACGGAGGCCAGAGACAAAUUGUAUAUGCUUUGCUCUGACUCUUGGAAGCUGCAGAUGUUCAUUGUUUGGACACAAAACAGACAGAUUAAUAUCUCCAGAUGUUCACCAUCCAUUCUUCCAGGACAUUAGUGGGCAGGCCGGGGAAUGGAUGCUUUUAGCAGAAACUUCAGUUUCCGCUACUGCUUCAGACAGAAGUAAUUUGUCAGAGUUGAUGUUCUGGAGAGCACCUGCUCCAAAAGCAGGGAGUCUACACUACAGAUCAAUGCCCCUCCCUGCCUCCACCCAACGCUAUAUGAAGCCUAAAAACCAUCCAUGCAACUGCUGAUGAACUGACUUCCAAAGAGAAUGAGAAUCCAGCAUUGCUUCUGACUAUUUUACCCAACAGGAAUAAGCAAAUAUUUAAAAUUGCAGAAGUAUUCAAAUGGUUGAGUGGCUCAGAGAGUCAAUACAAGGACAGAACUUCUAUUGAGCCACAGACAUAACACUAGUUUUUAAAGAAAUUUGAAUGUGAAUUUGUCCAUAAUUAUGCUUCUUAUUCACAAAGAAAAAAAAGCAGGUAUCAAUUUAGCAUUACCAAAUGUGAUACAAUUAAUUGUCAUACGUUUAUGUAUUAUUCUAGAAAAACGUGUGAUGACACUUUUGGGAUGGCUCUAGGUAACAAAUGUCCAUUUUAAUUUGAAGAGAAAAGCUGUUUACCACCAAUUCUCAAUGCCAGGUUAUAUAAAAACCCAAGUGAGAUGCUGUUGAAAAAAAAAAAGUAAUUCAGCAGCAGCAGCACCCAAGUCCCCCUGAAAAUUAUUCGGAUAGUUUUGCAAAUACUUUCUCUAAUAUUAUUGGCAUGGUUCCCUCACAUUCCCAUUCAUGAAUUCCCACUGGCAAAAUGCAACCUUCUGCUGGAGCAAACAGACUUAAUCCUAUGAAAAAUACUGUAAGUGAAGGAUGUACAUGUGUUGUCUUCCAUGUAUGAAUCUAUAAGAGGAAACAAAACAGGAUUUGGUCUUCCACCCACACGAAGAGGAUGUUAGAGAGGCAUUCGAUUUUUCCAGCUUGAAUCAUUUCAGUGAAACAGAUGCUCAGGUAGCAGCCAGGAGGACUGGAGUUUCUCAGCUUGGGCUACAGCUACACUAAGAUGUGUGUUGUCCUGCAGCUGAGUAUCUCUUUGCUGUUCCACUGGUUUUCCUGCCACUGCUGCCCCGAGUGGCACCAGUUUUUCUGUGGGACGGACAGGUCACUUCACCUGACCUGAAUGGGCUCUCAAAAUGCCCUUGCCACAAACCAAGGAAAAGAAAAAGCCUGGAAAAUGAAGGUAAAACAGUGGCUCUCCUCCAGUGAAAUCAUUGAGGGAUUUAGCUACUCCUUUUAAGGAAUUCACACCCAAAAAAGUUCAACAUCCAAAUAAUCUUGCACAAAAUCCGUGGGAGCUGUUGUAUGCAGAAGUUUGGUAAAAGAACUCACUUCUGCCUGCAGGUGGGUAACCCACUUACACAGGAAAACACCACACCUUGUGACACCCAGCAGAAGACAAGAAAGAGACCCCCGUUAGGAAAAAUACGAUUAAAACAAUUAGCGUGCCAUUAAAACAAGUAUAAAUACACAUUAUAUUACAUGGGUGAACUGUGCUUUCUUUAGUGUACGUGCCAUUUUUUAUUAAUUCAUACACUAAGUGCUAAAGUGUUUUCUUAUGCCAUUAGGUGGUGCUUUCAGUAAGUAAUGGAAUAAAUAGUUCUUGCACGGUUCUCUUCUGCGUCGUGUUCUCGUUUUCUGAAGUAAAAGGAAAUUUAAGCAAAACCCCCACAGGUGUCUCCUCCUUCCAAAGCCCAGCGGCCUCACACAAAGCUGUGCCUCACGUUUCCGAGGCGCUCUGGCUCCCCUCGGGCGUGAUGAACUGCACUUUGGGCACGAUGAGGGAGGAGUUGGUUCUCCGCAUGGAGUUGCUCCUCCGAAUGGAGUUGUUCCUCCUCAUGGAGUUGCGCUUCCGCAGGGAGUUUUGGUGGGACAGCUCGCUCUUCUGCAGGGUCUGGAUGAGGAUGGAGGGCUUCUCAUCGAGCUCCCGAGCGCUGCAACGCGGCGCCGCCACCUUGACGGUGUUGCCGAACUUGGAGUAGUCGACUGCGUACACACCUUCCUCCUCGGUGACGAUGGGCACGAAGCGGUGGCCCCACAGGAUCUCCUCGGCCACGUAGGAGGUUCUGGCCUGCGUUGUGAUGCCCGUUGUUUCCACAACUCCUUCAAGUAUCACGAUGAGCUCCAGGUCCUGGAGCGCCAGGUCGGCGGCGGAGAUGUCGUAGAGAGGGCUCCGCUUGUCUAUGACGUGACAAAUGAUCAGCGGCGCCACGAGGAAAAUGUUGUUGCUUUCGAUGGGGUUGUCCACGGGGAUGUCUACCUGGUGAAUGGGUAUGACUUCUCCCUCGGGGGUCGUGGUCUUCCUCACGACCUGGAUUCUCACCGAGGCGCUGAUGAUCAUGCUCUUCCUGAGGUCUCCCACUCGGAACAUGAAGCAGAGUUUGCCGUUGCGAACCGCGAUCACGGCCUGCCGGCUGAAAAUCAAGGUCUCAGCCCGCCUGUGGGCUUGCGCUGUUUUCAUGAAUAUGCAGCCCAGCAUGACAGCGUUGAUGAUCAGACCCACAAUGUUCUGCAGGAUCAGCACCGUGAUGGCCAAGGGACAUUCCUCUGUCAUCAUCCUGCCCCCAAAACCAAUGGUCACCUGGACUUCAAUGGAGAAGAGGAAAGCGGAGGUGAAAGACCUGUAGGGGAAGAUUGCAGCAAGUUAACUCCCAGGACACGGGAACACAAACUGGGGAACUGUUCACAUGUACUUUGUAGAAACAAAUUUAAGGACCUAUUUGUACAGUU